GCGGGCUGCCCAUUUAGAUGCUUGACAGGUCAGUAUGAACUAAGUAAAUGGGUGACUUUAUCUCCUCUUCCGCUCUGAAAUGGCCGUCAAGACUCCCUUUCCAUAUCACUGCUCAUCACGAUUUCAUUUCAUUAAGACCGAAUGGCAGAUCACUCAAUGACUCUGCAAGACCAAUAGUUCACCCAAAGCUUUCACAGCGGAUGCCUACCAGCAUAACAGCCCGAUCCACCAUAAUAUAUUUUAUGACAACCAGACUGACUACUGUAGGUUACCUAUUGUGAUUACUUACUGACCUGCACCAAAAACUAGCUUGAGGGAUAGCGGCGAUCUCUGACCCCGUUGCAAACUUAAGGAGGUCCCACGAUGCCCUGGUCUUCAUGAAUCUUUUAGGUAGGGGGAGUCUGGAGUUCAACGUUUCUGCGAACUGGAGAAAUAAUAAGCUGCAUGAUUAGCGCUACUAAAAAUAUCAGUAUGGCCAGAAGAAGCAAGGUGGUGUUCGCAUGUUCAGGGGCUGAUCGCUGUAACAAAGACCAUUCAUGCUGUCAGGAGGAUGAUAACGUCAUCCUAGAUCCUUUACAUCCCAUACGAGACUCCCGUUUCACUGCUGUCGUUCCCAAGAGCCCUGCACAAGUCAGAAACACAGGUUUGAAAAAGUUGAGUUUGGAAAAGAAAUGGAAAACAUCCCUUGCUUUUGAACUUCUCAAGGUGCACAGCCACACCUU